UUUCAUAAUUUCUUUGAUUAAUCUCUCUCUUUGGGGCUCAUAAACAAUUAUUCUUUUUCUUUUUAAUAAUUGUUGAGCCCCAAAGAAAGAGAGAGAUUAAUUUUCAAAGAAAUGAAAAGAGACGAUCACGACAUUAAUCACUUAUUUUUUUCUCUGUCUUUAAACUGUUGACCUCAAAUGAAAGAAAAGUGA
rnacentral:ribozyme from 11 species